rnacentral:misc_RNA from 1 species
GAUGAAGAACGCAGUGAAAUGCGAUACGUAAUGUGAAUUGCAGAAUUCAGUGAAUCAUCGAAUCUUUGAACGCAUAUUGCGCUCUCUGGUAUUCCGGAGAGCAUGCUUGUUUGAGUAUCAGUAAACACCUCAACUUCCAUAUCUUUUUUUGAAAUGGGAGUUGGACUUGAGUGAUCCCAACGCUUUUCCUUACCGAAAAGUGGCGGGUUACUUGAAAUGCAGGUGCAGCUGGACUUUUCUCUGAGCUAUAAGCAUAUCUAUUUAGUCUGCCUAAAAAACAGAUUAUUACCUUUGCUGCAGCUAACAUAAAGGAGAUUAGUUCUUGUGCUGACUGAUGCAGGAUUCACAAAGACGGCUUCGGCCGACUUUGUAAACUCGAUCUCAAAUCAAGUAAGACUACCCGCUGAACUUAAGCAUAUCAAUAAGCGGAGGA